rnacentral:rRNA from 1 species
UAUUGGUCAAUGGGCGGGAGCCUGAACCAGCCAAGUCGCGUGAGGGAGUAAGGCCCUACGGGUCGUAAACCUCUUUUGCCGGGGAGCAGGGCGGCGGACGUGUCCGCCGUUUGAGAGUACCCGGAGAAAAAGCAUCGGCUAACUCCGUGCCAGCAGCCGCGGUAAUACGGAGGAUGCGAGCGUUAUCCGGAUUUAUUGGGUUUAAAGGGUGCGUAGGCGGGAUGCCAAGUCAGCGGUCAAAUACGGGGGCUCAACCUGCGUCCGCCGUUGAAACUGGCGUUCUUGAGUGGGCGAGAAGUACGCGGAAUGCGCGGUGUAGCGGUGAAAUGCAUAGAUAUCGCGCAGAACUCCGAUUGCGAAGGCAGCGUACCGGCGCCGCACUGACGCUGAGGCACGAAAGCGUGGGUAUCGAACAGG